rnacentral:lncRNA from 1 species
GCAAACACGAAGAGGAGAUCUCUUGAAUAGUAAAUAUCCAGACUAGAAAAGUUUAAUUUGAAAAUAAAACAUUCUGACCGAUGAAAUUCAGUUUUUAUGGCAAAUACUUUUCAAAUUGAUGAAAACUUUAUGAAGAUACUCUUACUUCCUAGUCCAAUCAAAAAAUUAUCACCUCGAAUAUAAGAAAUGAGGGGCAAAGUGUUGAUGCAUU